rnacentral:lncRNA from 1 species
AAUUUAUUAGACAUAAAGCACAAACACAUUGUCUUGGCCCAUUUUAGAUAGGCUAGAUUUUGACAUGCAUCGAUCAAACAUUGACAUAUAUUCCUAUGAGGGGACACAAACGUCCUACCUUAAUUUUACGAGUAAUUUUCCCUGCACCUCCUGGAUCUCGUCCUGCACCUCCUAUUUUCCUUUUAAUUCCAACUGUACCCCUAUAUCUCUGACCCUACUAUUCAUUGGGUUUAUAAAAAGUAACUUUAUAGGAAAAACCCUACACCCCCUAUUUUCAGUCUUUCCUUGCCUUGACCAGUCUUCCUCUCCUUCCCUCCCUCCAACCAGUGCAUCCCCCUCCUUCCAACUAGUGCAUCUCUCUGUGCAGUUUCUAUCUUGACGUUGGGCGUGGGCUGUCAACGUAACAGGGUAGCUAGCAGUUCUUCAUCUUUGAAGGUUAGUAUUUCUCCUGUACUCUAGUAGAUCUGGUAGAUCUGGAAAAAUGGGAUGGAUUUUUCUGUAUGUAUGUACAUGAACUGUGCGUGGAGAGGCCGUGAAGGGUUAACCGCAAGUGGUACUGUGGUUAACCCCUGUCGCAGUACGAACAGCGGAUAAGGAUUGCCG